UCGAUGCUCCAGCCUGGGGCGCAAUGAAUGCAAUAGGAUCUCGGGAGGCGGGUUCCUUUCAUCCAAUGAUCCCUUGAUGAAAGGUUGAUGACGACAUUCCAUCUUAUUCUCUUUUCUAGUGGGCCAUUUCAGACGUGUCUAUUGCCUCAUCAACGGGUCCUUCGAACCUAAAAAAAAGCGUCUUCGGUCUCGAUGGCCGGGCUCUACGACCCUACAAUGAGCGACGGCCUUUUUUCUUGCCAAAGAGUCUUUUUGGCUUUUAUUCGGCGCGAAACGAGAAAAAGAAGCAAACUUCUUGUUCCCUGCAACUCGACCGGGGAAAUCGCGUUAGUGUGGCCUUGCUUGCCUGCUCUUCCGAUUUCCCUUCUCCGAUUCCAAUUAUCUGCCUUUUUUUCGGGGGUGGAGAAUUGUCGUUGUUCAGGCUGACGUGAGGUUAGUAAGAAGAGCUCGUCUUGCCCAUUGCCUAACAGCCUGCUUGGCCUUCCUGUUCCAUUCCAAGGCCGCCUAUGACGAUGUAUCUCUCGGAGGCAUAAGGCCGUCCUUGGUAACGUGAAGGUCCAACCCAAAUCCGGCAACAAGAAAAAAAAAUCCCACUCGAGUGUGCCAUCAGUAAGUUGAGAGUGCCAGAAAGGCCAGAAUUGGAGAUUUUGCGAAUACAGGACAAUGCAAUUUCCCAUUGUGCUCCAAGGUCGGUCUGUCAUUGAAGGAGCUACAUGGUUAUUGGACUUGUCAUCUGCCAUUGAUUUGUCACACCUUAGAGAUCUCAUUCUUGCCGCCCGAAGAGGGUAUGGUGGUAUGUCUGGUCCUGGUUACAGAGCUUCGUCUGGUAGCCCAACCCUCAAGUGGAGGUCAAGCGAUUGAAAUAGAGAUAUGAUGGUCGUUUUGGAUGACCAAGAGAGGCCAAGGACCUUGGGACCCUAAAUGGGAGCCAAAACGGGGUGAUAACGAACAUUAAGUAUCUGGAAGUUUUUUUCCGGAGAAUUGGAGGGUUUCUCUAACAAGCUGGCCAAUGAUCUUGAGAUCUCCAAAAGGCGAAGAAGAAAGAAGUUCGUUGUGAAAUUGCGGUUCCUUUUGAAUCCAAACACUUGGAGACGACAAACUUCUUUCAAGGACAUUAACCCAUAGGCUGCGCCAACGCAGCAUACUCACUCCCUGACUUUAAUUUUGUAAGGAAUGAACUAAUUUUCUUACCUCAAAAGUCGGAUGAUGUCACGUAAAGUUUGGUCAACUUCUCGAAAGUCUCGUCUUGUCUUGGUUUUUGUUUCAUCUUAAUAAAAGGACUAGGUAA